GAUGAACGCUAGCUACAGGCUUAACACAUGCAAGUCGAGGGGAAACGCCAUUGAAGCUUGCUUCGAUGGUCGUCGACCGGCGCACGGGUGAGUAACGCGUAUCCAACCUGCCUCUGACCAAGGGAUAACCCGUCGAAAGUCGGCCUAAUACCUUAUGCAGUCGUCGGAAGUCAUCUGAUGACGACGAAAGAUUUCAUCGGUGAGAGAUGGGGAUGCGUCUGAUUAGCUUGUUGGCGGGGUAACGGCCCACCAAGGCAACGAUCAGUAGGGGUUCUGAGAGGAAGGUCCCCCACAUUGGAACUGAGACACGGGCCAAACUCCUACGGGAGGCAGCAGUGAGGAAGAUUGGUCAAUGGGCGAGAGCCUGAACCAGCCAAGUAGCGUGCAGGAUGACGGCCCUAUGGGUGGUAAACUGCUUUUAUGCGGGGAUAAAGUGAGGGACGUGUCCUUCAUUGCAGGUACCGCAUGAAUAAGGACCGGCUAAUUCCGUG
rnacentral:rRNA from 1 species